GCCUUUCUGGGGAAGGCGGUUGUUAGGAGUUUGGAGUUUCGCUGAGAUGAGCCUGUUGCCACCACAUAAGAGCUGUGCCCUCAGGGCACGUCAGCCCCUCAGAGUUUGAGUUUGAGGUGAUUGUAGUGGUUGUGAGGAUUAAAUGUGAGGCCAUCAAUUGUAUUGAGCAUUAGCACAGGCGCUUUUGCUAAUUUUGUUUCCAUUGUAAUUCGUAUGCAUAAAUGUUAGAACGUGAUCAUUUUUACGUGGUGGCGCGCGCGUGUAGGCCAGGGAGGCUGAGGCAGGAGACUCGCUUAAGCCCGGGAGGCAGAGGUUGCGGUGAGCCAAAAUCGCGCCACUGUACUGCAUCCUGGGUGACAGCAAGAGCCUGUCUCAAAACAAAACAAAAGAAAACAAACAAACAAAAAAUUUAGUGUUUUUUGGAAAGAAAAGCAAGAGUAGAGGACAAGCUCUAAAGCAAGAGAGUCUUGACUCAUUCGUUAGCUGCGUGAUCUUGACCUCUCAGAGCCUCAGCUUUCUUAUCUGCAAAACGGACACCUGUGAGCUUGGAUUAGGAUCUACCCUAACAGCCUCAUUUAAUUAAUCACCUCCUUAAAGGCCCUAUCUCCAAAUGUCGCAUCGUGAGGUACCGGGGGUUACAGCUUCAACAGAGAACUUUCAGGAAGGCACCAUUGGUCUUGAGCUGGAAGCCCGCCUUUUAGUUUUGAAGAGAGAAGAGGUGGAGGAGGAUGUGUGCUCCUUGAAGACGUGCUCACAGAAUCUAACUUGCUGUGGAGCGGUGAGAGGGCUCGACGAGGAUGCCAAUGGCCUUCAGAUGUCUCUGGCUCCUGUCACGGCUGUGUGAAGAAGACGUUGAGGUGUGAACUGAAAGUCGUUAUUCCUCCCUCGAGCUUGACUGUUGGAUUACCCAGAGGAGCCCAGUGUCCUGCAAUGAAUGGGUAUAUUAUGCCUUCCAUUAAAAGUUGUGGCUCUUAAUUAAAAACGUGAUCGUGAGUCUUUACGGAGACAUUGUUUAGGUUUUCUUUAGCUGUUAACACAUAAUAAAUCAUU